CCUGUCCUACGGGGCGCAGCAGUUAGGAAUAUUCGUCAAUGGGGGAAACCCUGAACGAGCAAUGCCGCGUGAACGAUGACGGUCCUCUGGAUUGUAAAGUUCUGUUGUUUGGGAAGAACGGCUCUAAUAGGAAAUGAUUAGAGAUUGACUGUACCAUUCAAGAAAGCCACGGCUAACUACGUGCCAGCAGCCGCGGUAAUACGUAGGUGGCGAGCGUUAUCCGGAUUCAUUGGGUUUAAAGGGUGCGUAGGUUGUUUUAUAAGUUAGCGGUGAAAUACCGAUGCUCAACAUCGGGGCUGCCGCUA
rnacentral:rRNA from 1 species